AAUCCAUUGGAGGGCAAGUCUGGUGCCAGCAGCUGCGGUAAUACCAGCUCCAAUAGCGUAUAUUAAAGUUGUUGCAGUUAAAAAGCUCGUAGUUGGACUUGUGUGCGCUGUCCGCGGGUGGCCUGCGCCCAAAAGGGCGUUUCGGUUCGGCCCCGGUGGCGCCUUGAAAUCUGCAGCUGGGGGGACGUUGGCCUUAACUGGUCGGCGACCGCACGCCGGCUGCUCGGUUACUGUGAGAAAAUUAGAGUGUUCAAGGCAGGCAUUGGGUGCAAUUGAAUACAUUAGCAUGGAAUAAUAAAAUAUGGCUCCUGCCGUAUUUUGUUGGUUUUGACUGGUGGGAGUAAUGAUUGAUAGGGACGGUUGGGGGUGCUAGUAUUGAGCGGCCAGAGGUGAAAUUCAUGGAUUCGCUCAAGACUAACUUAUGCGAAAGCAUUCACCAAGGACGUCCUCUUUAAUCAAGAACGAAAGUUGGGGGAUCGAAGACGAUCAGAUACCGUCGUAGUCUCAACCAUAAACUAUGUCGACUUGGGAUCGGCGGUAGUUUUUUCAUUAAGACACUGUCGGGACCACGGGAGAAAUCAAAGUGUCUGGACUCUGGGGGAAGUAUGGUCGCAAGGCUGAAACUUGAAGGAAUUGACGGAAGGGCACCACCAGGAGUGGAGCCUGCGGCUUAAUUUGACUCAACACGGGGAAACUUACCAGGUCCAGAGAUGUAGAGGAUUGACAGAUUGAAGCUCUUUCUUGAUCACUUCGGUGGUGGUGCAUGGCCGUUCUUAGUUGGUGGAGUGAUUUGUCUGGUUAAUUCCGUUAACGAACGAGACCUCAGCCUGCUAGUGUAGUCGGCUGGAUUGCCUUUGGCGAUCCGUGAUUUCGACUUCUUAGAGGGACAAUCGACGCGCAGUCGAUGGAAGUUUGAGGCAAUAACAGGUCUGUGAUGCCCUUAGAUGUUCUGGGCCGCACGCGCGCUACACUGCUGGGCUCAGCGAGUUUUACUUGGCCGAGAGGCCCGGUUAAUCUUGUGAAAUCCCAGCGUUCUUGGGCUCGCCUCCUGCAACUGGAGGCGCCAACGAGGAAUUCCUAGUAGACGCAGGUCAUCAACCUGCAUCGAUUACGUCCCUGCCCUUUGUACACACCGCCCGUCGUUCCAUAAGAGUGAGGCAUCCGGUGAAUUCUCGGGAGAGCCUGGGCGUGGCCAGCAAUGGUCUGCUCGGGUUUGAACUUGCAUAAACUUGGUGCCUAUGAUUAGGG
rnacentral:rRNA from 1 species